rnacentral:misc_RNA from 1 species
GAUGAAGAACGUAGCGAAAUGCGAUACUUGGUGUGAAUUGCAGAAUCCCGUGAACCAUCGAGUCUUUGAACGCAAGUUGCGCCCGAAGCCAUUAGGCCGAGGGCACGCCUGCCUGGGCGUCACACGUCGUUGCCCCCCCAUCUACUCCUUCGGGAUUGCGGGGGGCGGAUGAUGGCCUCCCGUGCGCCUCGCCGCGCGGUUGGCAUAAAUGCCAAGUCCUCGGCGACGCACGCCACGACAAUCGGUGGUUGCGAAACCUCGGUUGCCCGUCGUGUGCGGUCGUCGCGCAUCGAGGGCUCGAAAAAAUUGCCGGGUUCCGGCUCGGCUUUCAACGCGACCCCAGGUCAGGCGGGGUUACCCGCUGAAUUUAAGCAUAUCAAUAAGCGGAGGA